GCCCGGUUGGCUCAGUCGGUAGAGCGUGUGACUCUUAUAUCCCUCACACAUUUCUGUCAUUGAGCUCAACAGAAAUGUCCGGAGGGAUAGAGGGUGAUCUCAAGGUCGCGAGUUCGAGCCUCGCAUCGGGCU